rnacentral:rRNA from 1 species
AACGAACGCUGGCGGCAGGCUUAACACAUGCAAGUCGAGCGCCCCGCAAGGGGAGCGGCAGACGGGUGAGUAACGCGUGGGAAUCUACCCAUCUCUACGGAACAACUCCGGGAAACUGGAGCUAAUACCGUAUACGCCCUUCGGGGAAAGAUUUAUCGGAGAUGGAUGAGCCCGCGUUGGAUUAGCUAGUUGGUGGGGUA